rnacentral:rRNA from 16 species
CGCGGUGAUACGUAGGGUGCGAGCGUUGUCCGGAUUUAUUGGGCGUAAAGGGAGCGCAGGUGGUUUCUUAAGUCUGAUGUGAAAGCCCACGGCUUAACCGUGGAGGGUCAUUGGAAACUGGGAAACUUGAGUACAGAAGAGGAAUGUGGAACUCCAUGUGUAGCGGUGGAAUGCGUAGAUAUAUGGAAGAACACCAGUGGCGAAGGCGACAUUCUGGUCUGUUACUGACACUGAGGCUCGAAAGCGUGGGGAGCAAACAGGA